AGUGAACGCGGCGGCGUGCCUAAUACAUGCAAGUCGAACGGAAUUUAAAAGAGCUUGCUCUUUUAAAUUUAGUGGCGCACGGGUGAGUAAUAUAUAGCUAAUCUGCCCCUUGCUGGAGGACAACAGUUAGAAAUGACUGCUAAUACUCCAUACUCCUUUUUACCAUAAGAUAAAUCGGGAAAGAAUUUCGGCAAGGGAUGAGACUAUAUCGUAUCAGCUAGUCGGUGGGGUAACGGCCUACCGAGGCUAUGACGCGUAACUGGUCUGAGAGGAUGAUCAGUCACAUUGGAACUGAGACACGGUCCAAACUCCUACGGGAGGCAGCAGUAGGGAAUAUUGCGCAAUGGGGGAAACCCUGACGCAGCAACGCCGCGUGGAGGAUGACACUUUUCGGAGCGUAAACUCCUUUGUUAGGGAAGAAUAAUGACGGUACCUAACGAUAA
rnacentral:rRNA from 1 species